ACUCGGGCCUCGGCCAGGACCCAGCCUCACCUAGUCGGGAGCGCGCGGAAGUCCAAGCUCCACCGCUAGGGCCGUUGGGAAAUUGAGUCCUGGCGAGUAGCCCAGCUGCAAAUUCGCGACUGCACACGCGCAUCCGCGUCUGGGCCCCCGGAGAGUGUGCUGGGAAGCAGGGCGUCGCUGAAGAAAGGUCGUCCCCCCACUACGAUGGAAGGACUCCUGAGCGAUGUUCCCUUGGACUCCAAAGGAGGAGAAGCCAGAAACCAGGAAACCCCUUUAGACCCCCAUGAAGCAGCAUCCAAGGAUGGUGGCCAGGAACACAAAGAGCGCAAGAGCCCCAUCGACCCGAAGUCAGUCCUGGUUCCGAGAGGCCGAGGAUCUGUGGAUCUGUGGCCCCCGAAGCCUGAUCCAUGCAGGAAAAGUUUCAAACAGAACUCAAACCUGAUGAAGCCAGAGGGAGUUUGUGAGGUGAACAAGCCCUGGAAAUGUAAGGAAUGUGGGAAAGCCUUUAGCUACUGCUCAGCCUUCGUUCUUCACCAGAGAGUUCACACUGGGGAGAAGCCCUAUGCCUGUAAAGAAUGUGGGAAAGCCUUCAGCCAGAGCAUACACCUUACCCUGCACCAGAGGAUUCACACUGGGGAGAAGCCCUACGAAUGCAACGAGUGUGGGAAAGCCUUUAGCCAGGGCUCCUAUCUUAUUUCACAUUGGAAAACACAUACUGGAGAGAAACCUUAUAAGUGUAAUGAAUGUGGGAAAGCCUUCACCAGGAUCUCACACCUUACGCAACAUCAAAGGACCCACACUGGGGAGAAGCCCUACAAAUGCAACGAAUGUGGGAAAUCCUUCAGGAAUCGCUCCUCCCUGAUAGAACACCAGAGAAUUCACACUGGAGAGAAACCCUAUGAGUGUACGGAAUGUGAAAAGUCCUUUCGUUUCUCUUCUGCUCUCAUUCGACACCAGCGGAUUCACACAGAAGAGAAACCCUACAAAUGCAGUGAGUGUGGGAAGGCCUUUACCCAGAUUUCACACCUUACUCAGCACCAAAGAAUUCAUACAGGAGAGAAACCGUAUAAAUGCAAUGAGUGUGGCACCACCUUCAGUCAGAGCUCAUCCCUGAUUGAACAUCAGAGAAUUCAUACGGGAGAGAAACCCUAUAAAUGCAAUGAAUGUGGAAAAGCUUUCACUCAGAUUUCACACCUAAUUCAGCAUCAAAGGAUUCAUACUGGAGAGAAGCCUUAUAAAUGUAACGAAUGUGGCAAGGCCUUCAGUAAUCGUUCACACCUUAUUCAACAUCAUUUAAUUCAUACUGGAGAAAAACCUUAUAAAUGUGUUGAGUGUGGGACAACUUUUAGUCAUGGCUCAUCUCUUAUUGAACAUCAGAAAAUUCAUACUGGAGAAAAACCCUAUAAAUGCAAUGAAUGUGGAAAAGCCUUCAGCCAGGGCUCAUCCCUGACUCUGCACCAGAGAACCCACACUGGGGAGAAACCUUACCGGUGUAAUGAGUGUGGGAAAGCCUUCAGUAACCGGUCGUACUUGAUUCAGCAUUAUAUCAUCCACACUGGAGAGAAGCCCUAUGAAUGCAGUGAGUGUGGGAAGGCCUUCAGCUUCUCCUCAGCACUCAUUCGCCACCAGAGAACUCACACAGAGGAGAAACCCUACCAAUGUGGUGACUGUGGGAAAGCCUUCGGUCAGAUUUUAAUGCUUACUCAGCACCAGAGUGUUCACAGUGAGGAAAAGCUGCCUGUCCCGAGUGCUGGCAGCAAAAGCAUCAGCCACGGUUCGACUCCUGAUGAACUGCAGUUGUUCCCAAGUCAAGAGAAAAUGUAGUCCUGAUUCGUGCCUCUGGCUUGUGUACCUGUGUGCCAGGCCCCUUUGGAGGCACCAGAUGGGAAGAGGAAAACAUGUUUUGUCUUGGUGGAGUCUGUAUUGGUCCGAGUCCCCUUGAUUUGGAGCAGGAUCGAACGGAUUGGAUGUCACACUGAGCCGUUGAGCGUGCAGGCCCACUGUAGAUGGACGGUGGGGGUCCAUGGGUGUCUUAGAAACUACUGAUAAGCAGCUGCAGAUAAUGGGUAGAUUUCUGUAAGUAGUAGGUAUGUUUGAGAACCAGAAGAGGCUGACCGGAAUAUACGAAAGGCACAAAUUGGACUGAGUAAACUGCCCUAGAGCAGCCUGAGCUGGACUCUUGGGAGUCUGGCACAUCUCUUUGAUUGGAACUUUUUUCCCUCAUAAGUCAUUACAAUUCGUUAUUAAAACACUAAUAAGACAUAGAAGGGGCUAAUCCUGCGGGUCUCAAAAGCAGGCAGCAAAUUAGAGUUUGGUCCAUUGGAAAGUGCUGGGUUUGGGUCCGGAAACUUGGUUCAAGUCCCAGCUGGGACACAGGUCGUGUGACUGUGAGCAAGGCCUUGACUGCCCCGAUGUCCUCUGUAAAAUGGAGCUGAUGCAUUUUUGUGCCCACCUCAGGGUUGUUGUGAGGAAGUGCGAGAUAAGUAGAAACCACUGGGAUUUCAAUGUCUUCGUGCUUAGAGUCCAACUGUAACGAGGGUGAUGGCGGUGAUCACCCUGUAUCUAGGCCCCACAUGGCACAGGUUCAGAAUGGGCCAGCAGCAAGCGGCUCUUUGGAAAAAAGGGCCUUUGUGGACCGGAGGGCAGCAGGUUGAAGCCUUCGUGACGAAGGUGAGAGGGGCCAGGAGAGCUGUCCUCAGUCCCAAGACCUUGCCCCAGGAGGAAGGUGUCCAGGAGCCGGGCGGGUCUUUUGACCUGAAAGAAAAGAGGGCCGAGGGCUGACUCGCAGGCCUUCCCCUCCCAGAGCCUUUCCUUUUCUGGAGAGUGCCAGAGAAAACAGGAAAGGAAAAGGCAUGUGGACCCAAAGCCUUUACCCUUCAUCUCUUCCGGGUCUGCCCCACAACCUUGUGACACAUGGGAGGUCUUGACUCUCGGGCCAUGUGUGUGAGCACCCUUAUUCUGCCACCCUCUGCAGCAACUAAGCGUUCCUUGUGCCCUCUCUCACUCACUGAGUGAUCUGGGAAGAGUCCCAUUAACCAGAGGGAGUAGAGAUGGCAGCUCGGCUCGGGGCAGAAAGGGCCACGGACAGGGAGAUUGGGUACUGGCAAACUUCAGUCCUUCCCCUAGGCUUACUGAGGAGGCCUGGGGGAGGAAAGGCUUGACCUGGAGUCAGGCCGCCUCAAUGGGAUCGCCUCGCUCCUCAAUCUCCGACCACUUCCUCAUUGCUGAAAUACAAAAGGAUCAGACCACAGCGAGAUCUCGGGGGUCACCUCUGUGAUCCUCCUUUUUCAUGAGUCCUUCCUGCUUUCAUACAGGAAACCCUGAAAAUGCAGUAGGCUAGCCCUUCCUGGGGGAGGGCGUUGUCUCAGUGUGGGACCUCGCUUCCUAGCUUCCUCUCUUGCCCUUCCGAAUCAACAGGCCGGCGGAGCACUGCUCGGAUCUCGGGCCAAGGAGGAACCCUUGAAGAUCUGACAGCCCCCAGGGCUGGGAAAGGGGGCUUUCUAACUAUGGCGCUUGUUCUGAACCAGUCUCAGGUCCCACCUCAGAAGCUACCAGGUUCUCCUUCCUUGAACCCUACUUCUCAUAGCAUGCCAGCCAAGUUUCACCCACUUGUGUCCUUAAAGUUCUCCCAAGCUGAGGAAGUGAUCAGAGUUGUUCAUCCUCACGACUCCUCACAUGAGGAAAUGGGCCCAGACUUGGGAAGGGGCUUAAGCUAGAAGUCAGUGAUGGAGGCAAUAUUUGAGCCCAGGUCUUCUGAUGAAGUUCAGGCCUGGCCUAUGACCACCUCGAGCCCUCUGAUCACAGGCAUUUGCACCCACGCCCCUUCCUAGUCAGCCCCUCCAAGAUCACCUCCCCUUUGUUUUAGAGAUGGUCAGGCUGAGGAAGCCUGAAGAGGAGAGACCUUGCCCAAGACCUUCCUGGCAUGGUGGCUCUCACUUCUCUUGGACCCAUCUCAUGAGUACAGGAUACUAAGCAGAAGGUCCAGGUGAAUGUUAAUGGGGCUCCCUGCCCCAAGAUCAUGUGGUAGAGAUGAGCUCAAGGGAGUGAAAAGUUAAGUCAGAAAUUGAGGCCUGAGCCUCUGAGGGCCAGGUUAGCCAUACAGGGAGCCAGACGUCCCCACCAUUCCUUGCACCUUUUUUCUCUUUUUUGGAUAACAUUUUUUCCACAAUUACAUGAAACAACAGUUUUCAACAUCAGGGGAGUUUCUGAGUCUCGUUCUCUCCUUCCAUCCGCAAGAAGCCUGAUGAAGAUUUUACGAGUGAAAUCAUAAUCUUUUUGCCCCCUUCCCCUGAAUGAAAACGGAAAGGGGAACACAGUUUGUUUUGGCCUGCAAUCGGGCUACCGCAGCUGGCAUUUCCCCCCCCGAAUCCUUUGGGGUGGCCCCAGAUCCCUGGAUUGCCGAGAAGUUCUUUGCAGCUGUUCAUCGGGUGAUGCUAUUGCGACUGUGUACACUGUUCUCUCAUUCUGCACCUUCCCUGCUUCAGUUCAUGAUGUUCAUUUAGAGUCUACCCAGGAGAUAAAGUUUAUAUCAAGAAUUUCAAGCGAACUGGAGCAACUCAACCUUCAUGGGAAGGACCAUUCCAAAUAUUAUUAACUACUCCAACAUCUAUAAAGAUUGGAGAAAAGAGACUCUUGGAUUCACUGCUCACAUGUGAAGAAAGCAUCUUCUGCUGAGACUGAUUGACUCUAUCCUAUCAUAUGAAUUGUGACUCUAUCUUAUCAUAUGAAUUGGAGAUAAUAAUCCAUAGACAAAUGGAUGCUGUUUUUUCAAGAAUAUAUUGAAUUACUGAUUUUUUUCUUAUUUUUUCUUAUUUCUUUUAUUUUUUGAUCAGAAUAUUUGAUUUUUUUCUCAUUUUUUGUACUGAAGGUACACAUAAUUAAUAUUAAUAUUAUUUUUCCCUGCAGUAAUACAAGUUAAUAUAUAUACUCUUGCUAUAAUAUCAAUAUAUGCCUAAAAGCUUUAAACUAUGGGAACCUGCCAUUUAUUGAUAAAAUAUUAUAGGACUGUGAUUAAUGUUUGUGUCUGAUUCCAGGAAAAGGGAUAAAAACAAGGAGCACAGACUAAACCUGAAUAGUGCCAAUAGAGCACACAAGAAAUAUUAAAGUGAGACUCGAGGUUGUGACGCUUAACUUAUGUUUAAGUCGUAGGGCUUCCUUGUAUCUACACUCUUUUCAAAGUACUCAAACAAGUACAAAGCUUGAUUAUCAUGCUGGCUCCCUAUAUCCCUGAGGAAAAAAAAUCAGACGAGGGAAUGACAUUUCCCCAUCAAAAUAGAAUUCUAAUUCUUUUCUUCUUAUAUUAUGGCAACUUCCUAUAGUCUUGGCUACAAAUGGCUAAGUGAAAUAUUACUGCAUCCUGUCCUACAUAUUUGUGGGAUAGAAAUUACUUUAAACUGGACCUAUACAAGGUCUAUUUUGAAUUUUUCUUAUGUCUUUGAUUAUUUUUCUAUUCUUUUGAUAAUUGACACAUACAACCCCAUAACUGAACAUUGCAUUCUGAGCUAAACUUGAUAUUUUUUUAAAUACUUACUUCAGGGGGGAUUGAAUUUUAAUUUUAAAUCUAAGAAUUUUUUUUUUGUUUGAGAUUGUAUUUUUAUAAAAAUCCAAGAAUUUUGUUUAAGAUUUUACUGUUAUAAAAAAGUCAAAGAUUUUGAUUCUGUUUGAGAAAGAUCUUCAAGAAAGAAGCUUGAAACUUUUAUAUCCAGAGAAUGAACUGUUGCAGAAAGAUGCCGAAAACCUACACUUCAUCAAGAAGAUCAAGAAUGAACUUUGGAUGUGAUUGAUUGGACUGAACUUUUGAUUGAACAUUUAUUGUAAUUGUACACAUUUAUGCCAAAAGGGACUGCCCCUAAUUUGGCUUUCUGUCAAUGUGCCUAGCAAAACAUUGGUUUUGCUUUCUUUUCUUUUCUAUUUCCUCUCUCACUAUUCUAAUUUCUCUUAGAAAAUUGAAUAUUGUGUAUAUCUAUAGUUAGAAGUGCAUUUAGAACUACAAAAUAUGUUAAAUGAUCAAUGGGGAGACUAGUCUCCCAAUGAUCAUCAGGGGGAUUGUAAACCUUAAAAUUUCUUAGACUUAUAAAUGUUGGAAAUUUCACCAUUGGGAAAUUUCAUACUUGGAAAAUUUCUUACUGAUAGUCUAUUGGAAUGUGAACCCCAUUGGCAUGGGAGGGUCCUUCUCCUCCCUACUUAAGAUUACUUUAGGACAGAAACCUUUUGCUGAACAAUGGAAAGGGCUUUGACCUAUGCUUAAGCAUAGAACAGGAAGUUCUUUGAGUCAUGAUUGAUUUUAGAAUUGAUACAAUAGAGAUACUUGGAAUGACAGAACCAGGUCUUGGAACUUCCAAUCUCCACCCUACUCAGAGUAACAGGAUUUAGGAAGGGCUGCAGCAUAGAUCAAGAUUUAAUUAUUUGAGAAUAUGACCUUCAACAGACAUGUGCAAAGCCACAGACCUCUGGGCGGUCCUGGGUUAAGCUAGAGCCACCAUUGGCACAGGGAAGACAUGGACAGUGAUUGGUAGGUGUGAGAACUGAGGGGAGGGAACUUGGAUGGUUUCCUUAAAGAUAGCGGGGUCUGAGGACUAGAGGUGAUUGGUUGGAGAGGUUUUGCUCUGAGAGGUUGUGCUCUGAGAAGCUUGCUCUGAAGGAAGCUGGAGGUGGAGGCCCCUGAGACUGUUUCUCCAUUUUGGUCACAUGAGUGAUAGGGACUGAUCUCUUUUCUUUGCCUCAGCUAUCUAAGGGCUUGGGCCUUUUGGCCCAGCCUAAACAGAAGGGGUAUUUAAGCCCUAUUCCCUUCUCUCCCCUUUCUCUCUCCCUCUCUCUAUCUCUAAUACCUUUCUUCCUCCUGUUUGUAAUUAAACUCCAUAAAAGGUUGACUGCUGA